CGGAAUAGCCAUUAGAAAUGGUGGGUAAUACUGUAUAAUCCCCGAGGGGGAAAGAUUUAUCGCUAUUAGAUGAGCCUACGUUAGAUUAGCUAGUUGGUGAGGUAAUGGCUUACCAAGGCUAUGAUCUAUAGCUGGUCUGAGAGGACGAUCAGCCACACUGGAACUGAGAUACGGUCCAGACUCCUACGGGAGGCAGCAGUGGGGAAUAUUGGACAAUGGGCGAAAGCCUGAUCCAGCUAUGCCGCGUGAGUGAAGAAGGCCUUCGGGUUGUAAAACUCUUUCAAUAGGGAAGAUAAUGACGGUACCUAUAGAAGAAGUCCCGGCAAACUCUGUGCCAGCAGCCGCGGUAAUACGGAGGGGGCAAGCGUUGUUCGGAAUUAUUGGGCGUAAAGGGCACGUAGGUGGACUAGUAAAGUUAAAAGUGAAAUACCAAAGCUUAACUUUGGAGCGGCUUUUAAUACUG
rnacentral:rRNA from 1 species